UCAGAAUCAACAGCAGCAUUAAGUAACAAAUCAGACAAUAGAUUGAUAUAUUAGAUGAAUAAUAAAAUUCCCCCUGCUCCUAUCAGCUGUGCAAACAAUGCGCUUUGAAAAACACAAAUAGCAGCUGUAGAAAAAAAAGCUCGCAUACGGCACUUCAUUUGACACCGCAACUGGGAAACGAACAACAUCGAACUUUUAUUAAUCCGGUCGGAUCAGAUUAGUUAGAUCGUUAACGAUGAAAUUGUUUGCAAUUAUAGUGAUAACUGUUGCGCUUUUUCAGCAGGCCACAUCUAGGACAGUUACAAGUGCAGACCAAUGUUUUGCUAAUGAGGAGUUCCAGGAGUGUGAAGGCUGCUGUGAAAAUACUUGCACACUAAACUGUGCAGUUGUAAGAUGCUAUCGACCGGUUUGUGCCCCGGGAUGUGUCUGCCGCUAUGGAUAUGUUCGCGUUAUCAAAACUAACGACUGUGUCAGUGCACUCACCUGUAUCAAGAAAAGAACAUUAAUAUGAUUAUAUCAUGUACUGGCAAAAAUGAAAAAUAUAAUAUAAUUCAUAAAUUGUAAA